rfam:Clostridium sp. SY8519 DNA, complete genome.
GGGGUAUUAGCUCAGUUGGCAGAGCACUUGACUUUUAAUCAAGUUGUCCGGGGUUCGAAUCCCCGAUGCCUCA